UGACGGAGGCGGAAGCGGAGCUGCGCGGAGAUGGCGGGUGUAGAGAAGCAGGGUGCGGUUUCUCUCCCCAAACAUUCAUACUGGUUCGACUUCUGGGUGUUUGUCUUAUUCGACAUCGCGUUUUUCCUCUUCAUGUACUUUGUCGUUCCUUAAGGAUCCACCUGUGGUGUGUGAGGACGAGGAGCAUGGAGAUGGUAGCUGACCUAUGGAGUAGAUGAGACUCGUUGGUAAUGUGUGACUCCCCCAAAACUGCACUCCAUGGCUUUGGCUGAUCUCAUCCGUCCACCAAUUCAGAGUACUGCGAGUGCAGUGCCUUGUUUCAGGCUCUUUUACACCCCUGAUUCAAACAGCUACGCUUAUCCAAAGAACCAAAAACACGUUACAGAUAACUAAUCAUUCCUCUACAGGCUUCACGCCUCUACCUGAAUUGUAAUUCAUCUUAAACACUGUGUGAGUUAGAGUUAGACUGCAGGAUGUUAACACAUAUGUUAACACAUAUGCUACAUGAAGAAGUGGUUGAAUUAAUUGUCAUUAUGAAUGAAUGAACAAGGUUUUGUUUGCUUUAAUCUCAAUCAUGUGAUUCACUGAAUACUAAAAAAUUAAAGUCUCUUAAUAUAUUUUUGAAA